UACGGAGGGAGCUAGCGUUGUUCGGAAUUACUGGGCGUAAAGCGCGCGUAGGCGGCUUUGUAAGUUAGAGGUGAAAGCCCGGAGCUCAACUCCGGAACUGCCUUUAAAACUGCAUCGCUUGAAUCCAGGAGAGGUGAGUGGAAUUCCGAGUGUAGAGGUGAAAUUCGUAGAUAUUCGCAAGAACACCAGUGGCGAAGGCGGCUCACUGGCCCGGUACUGACGCUGAGGUGCGAAAGCGUGGGGAGCAAACAGG
rnacentral:rRNA from 1 species